rnacentral:rRNA from 1 species
AGUGAACGCUGGCUGUAGGCCUAACACAUGCAAGUCGAACGGCAGCACAGUAAGAGCUUGCUCUUACGGGUGGCGAGUGGCGGACGGGUGAGGAAUACAUCGGAAUCUACUUUUUCGUGGGGGAUAACGUAGGGAAACUUACGCUAAUACUGCAUACGACCUACGGGUGAAAGCAGGGGAUCUUCGGACCUUGCGCGAUUGAAUGAGCCGAUGUCGGAUUAGCUAGUUGGCGGGGUAAAGGCCCACCAAGGCGACGAUCCGUAGCUGGUCUGAGAGGAUGAUCAGCCACACUGGAACUGAGACACGGUCCAGACUCCUACGGGAGGCAGCAGUGGGGAAUAUUGGACAAUGGGCGCAAGCCUGAUCCAGCCAUACCGCGUGGGUGAAGAAGGCCUUCGGGUUGUAAAGCCCUUUUGUUGGGAAAGAAAAGCAGCAGGUUAAUACCCCGCUGUUCUGACGGUACCCAAAGAAUAAGCACCGGCUAACUUCGUG